ensembl:snRNA U6 U6 spliceosomal RNA
GUGCUAGAUUCAGCAGCACAUAUACUAAAAUUGGAAAGAUACAGAGAAUAUUAGCAUGGCCCCUGUGCCAGGACGACACACAAUGUUGUGAAGUGUUCCAUGUUUUU